rnacentral:rRNA from 1 species
AGAUGAGUUCUCCCUGAGACUUUAAGUCUCCUGAAGGAACGUUGAAGACGACGACGUUGAUAGGCCGGGUGUGUAAGCGCAGCGAUGCGUUGAGCUAACAU